rnacentral:rRNA from 1 species
GCCUACGGGGGGCAGCAGUGGGGAAUAUUGGGCAAUGGGCGCAAGCCUGACCCAGCAACGCCGCGUGAAGGAAGAAGGCUUUCGGGUUGUAAACUUCUUUUGACAGGGAAGAGCAGAAGACGGUACCUGUCGAAUAAGCCACGGCUAACUACGUGCCAGCAGCCGCGGUAAUACGUAGGUGGCAAGCGUUGUCCGGAUUUACUGGGUGUAAAGGGUGCGCAGGCGGAAGAUCAAGUCAGCGGUAAAAUUGAGAGGCUCAACCUCUUCGAGCCGUUGAAACUGGUUUUCUUGAGUGAGUGAGAAGG